CCCUUAGAUGUUCUGGGCGGCCCGCGCACUACAUUGGCACUAGCAAAGAGAUCCUAGAUUGAAUUCUUUGGGGUAUUCUUCUAAAUGGUGUCGUGACUGGGAUAAAUCCUUGUAAUUAUUGGUUUUGAACGAGGAAUUCCUUGUAAUCGCGGUUUAUCAGCUCGCGUUGAAUGCGUCCCUGCCCUUUGUACACACCGCCCGUCGCUCCUACCGAUGGAUCGUCCGGUGAAGCUCACGGAGUGACUAUUCACGCAACGGUUUACGAAGUGAAAUGGACCUCACGAUUUAGAGGAAGGAGAAGUCGUAACA
rnacentral:rRNA from 1 species